UACGGGGGGGGCGAGCGUUGUUCGGAAUCACUGGGCGUAAAGGGCGCGUAGGCGGCCCGCACAAGUCUGCGGUGAAAACCCCCGGCUUAACCGGGGGCCGGCCGUGGAAACUGUCGGGCUGGAGGCUGGGAGAGGGCAGCGGAAUUCCCGGUGUAGCGGUGAAAUGCGUAGAGAUCGGGAGGAACACCGGCGGCGAAGGCGGCUGCCUGGACCAGUCCUGACGCUGAGGCGCGAAAGCUAGGGGAGCGAACGGG
rnacentral:rRNA from 1 species